rnacentral:rRNA from 1 species
UACGGGAGGUGCGAGCGUUGUCCGGAAUCAUUGGGCGUAAAGGGCGCGUAGGUGGCGGGACAAGCGUGCGGUGAAAGCCUGGGGCUCAACCCCGGGUCGGCCGUGCGAACUGUUUUGCUUGAGCACUGUAGAGGCAGGCGGAAUUCCGGGUGUAGCGGCGGAAUGCGUAGAGAUCCGGAAGAACACCGGUGGCGAAGGCGGGUCUCUGGGCCGUAACUGACGCUGAGGAGCGAAAGCAUGGGGAGCGAACAGG